rnacentral:rRNA from 1 species
AAUCAACGCUGGCGGCGUGCCUCAGACAUGCAAGUCGAACGCGAAAGGUUCCUUCGGGAACCCGGUAGAGUGGCGCACGGGUGAGUAACACGUGGGUAAUUUGCCUUCGGGUGGGGAAUAACAGUCGGAAACGGCUGCUAAUACCGCAUAAUGCAGCGGUAUCAUAAGAUGACAGUUGUUAAAGCGGGGGAUCGUAAGACCUCGCGCCUGAAGAGAAGCCCGCGGCGGAUUAGGUAGUUGGUGAGGUAAUGGCUCACCAAGCCCGCGAUCCGUAACCGGCCUGAGAGGGCGGUCGGUCACACUGACACUGACAUACGGGUCAGACUCCUACGGGAGGCAGCAGUCGGGAAUUUUGGGCAAUGGGCGCAAGCCUGACCCCAGCAACGCCGCGUGAAGGAUGAAGCAUUUCGGUGUGUAAACUUCACAAGAAUGGGAAGAAUAAGUUAA